rnacentral:rRNA from 1 species
CGGACGGGUGAGUAAUGCCUGGGAAACUGCCUGAUGGAGGGGGAUAACUACUGGAAACGGUAGCUAAUACCGCAUAACGUCGCAAGACCAAAGAGGGGGACCUUAGGGCCUCUUGCCAUCGGAUGUGCCCAGAUGGGAUUAGCUAGUAGGUGGGGUAACGGCUCACCUAGGCGACGAUCCCUAGCUGGUCUGAGAGGAUGACCAGCCACACUGGAACUGAGACACGGUCCAG